rnacentral:rRNA from 1 species
UUCCGGUUGAUCCUGCCGGACCCGACUGCUAUUUGGGUGAGGAUAAGCCAUGCGAGUUGAAUGGGAAACCUGAAGUUCCCAUGGCAAACUGCUCAGUAACACAUGAUCAACUUACCCUAUAGAGAAAAAUAACCUCGGGAAACUGAGGAUAAUGUUUCAUAGUUGAAUUGGCUUGGAAAAGUUUUUCGACGAAAGGGGUAAAGAAAAUGGUUUUUAUCUGCUAUAGGAUAGGAUCGUGUUCGAUUAUGGUUGUUGGUGAGGUAAUGGCUCACCAAGCCGAUAAUCGAUAGGGGCCGUGAGAGCGGGAGCCCCGAGAUGGGUACUGAGACAACGACCCAGGCCUUACGAGGCGCAGCAGGCGCGAAACCUCCGCAAUACACGAAAGUGUGACGGGGUUACCCAAAGUGUUCAAUUUUGAACUGUGGUAGGUGAGUAAUGUUCCCUACUAGAAAGGAGAGGGCAAGGCUGGUGCCAGCCGCCGCGGUAAAACCAGCUCUUCAAGUGGUCGGGAUAAUUAUUGGGCUUAAAGUGUCCGUAGCCGGUUUGGUAAGUUCCUGGUAAAAUCGGGUAGCUUAACUAUCUAUAUGCUAGGAAUACUACUAUACUAGAGGGCGGGAGAGGUCUGAGGUACUACAGGGGUAGGGGUGAAAUCUUAUAAUCCUUGUUGGACCACCAGUGGCGAAGGCGUCAGACUGGAACGCGCCUGACGGUGAGGGACGAAAGCCAGGGGAGCGAACCGGAUUAGAUACCCGGGUAGUCCUGGCCGUAAACGAUGCAUACUAGGUGAUGGCACGGCCAUGAGCCGUGUCAGUGCCGUAAGGGAAACCGUUAAGUGCGCCGCCUGGGAAGUACGGUCGCAAGGCUAAAACUUAAAGGAAUUGGCGGGGGAGCACCACAAGGGGUGAAGCCUGCGGUUCAAUUGGACUCAACGCCGGCA